ACAUUGUGUCUAUUGUAUCCCUUGGCUGGUGUAUUUGUACAUCUCUCGGGACGUGAAAUUGACAGUGAAAAGUAUGGCAGAUGAGCAAGAAAUCAUGUGCAAAUUGGAAAGCAUUAAAGAGAUCAGAUAUAAGGUCUCACUAUGUUGCCCAUGCUGGUUUCAAACUCCUGGGCUCAAGUGAUCCUCCUGCCUCUGUCUUCCAAAUUGCUGAGAUUACUGGCAUGAGCCAUUGCACCUGGCCUUCUUUUUUGAGAUGGCCUCAGGUUGGCUCUGCCUGGAGAGGGGGAAGCUUGUAAAGAUGGCUUAGAAAAAAAGUCCUGGCUCCAUUUCUAUUUUCUCCCUUCUUUUGCUGGCCUGUUUCCUGCUUUUUGCAAAUUGCAGGAACAAGACCCUGCAGAUGGAGAAGAUCAAGGCUCGUUUGAAGGCUGAGUUUGAGGCACUUGAGUCAGAGGAAAGGCACCUGAAGGAAUACAAGCAGGAGAUGGACCUUCUGCUACAGGAGAAGAUGGCCCAUGUGGAGGAACUCCGACUGAUCCACGCUGACAUCAAUGUGAUGGAAAACACUAUCAAACAAUCUGAGAAUGACCUAAACAAGCUGCUAGAGUCUACAAGGAGGCUGCAUGAUGAGUAUAAGCCACUGAAAGAACAUGUGGAUGCCCUGCGCAUGACUCUGGGCCUGCAGAGGCUCCCUGACUUGUGUGAAGAAGAGGAGAAGCUUUCCUUGGAUUACUUUGAGAAGCAGAAAGCAGAAUGGCAGACAGAACCUCAGGAGCCCCCCAUCCCUGAGUCCCUGGCCGCUGCAGCCGCUGCCGCCCAACAGCUCCAAGUGGCUAGGAAGCAGGAUACUCGGCAGACGGCCACCUUCAGGCAGCAGCCCCCACCUAUGAAGGCCUGCUUGUCAUGUCACCAGCAAAUUCACCGGAAUGCACCUAUAUGCCCUCUUUGCAAGGCCAAGAGUCGGUCCCGGAACCCCAAAAAGCCGAAACGGAAGCAGGAUGAAUAAAGAAAGGGAGAGCACAUGAAGCUUUGCUAAUUAUAACCCCUCACCUUGACCAGAGUCAUUGAUGUCCUGAUGUGAAACAACCCUUGCCCAACCCCACGAAGUCUCCUAUUUAAUGUGAUGGAAGCACAACCCCUCUCUCACUUUGCUCCUAUUUCUUUCUGCUCUUGGGAUUUCUGGUUUAGGAAGAGAUGUGGUUCAGGUGCUAAACAGUGUGUCUGAUGAUCCCUUCUCUCCCACUCACAUUUCAACCCCUGCCCUUGUUUGGAGCUAAGGGAAGGGCAAAAGGCUCAGAUAUGAUUCUCUAUCUCUUGUGCCUGAGGCCUGGAGCCUAAGGAGCUGUAGGGUCUGAGGGGCAGGGGAGGCCCAUAUCUUGUUUCAGGUAAAGGACCCAGUAUUUCCCCUCCUUGUACUUUUGCCUUAGGUUCUCAAGGGACAAUAGUCUUCAUGUUGGAUUCUCCAACAGGCUGGGUGCAUGUAUCCCCCUACUCCUACCCUCAUCUCAUCCUUAAGGCCCAGAGGUAGCUUGGACAAGCCCUCCUUUUCAUAAUCAUUUGGGAGGCAUGGCUGUAAUUCUUUAGCUUUCUCCACUUCUGUCUCCCACAUAUACUAAAAUUCUUAGGUACUAGGCUGUGUGUCUUGGGAUCUUAAGAUCAAUGAACCUUUCCCCAAUAUCUAGUCUUUGCAAAUUCUAGUAGAAGAUUUCCACAGUGAAAUCAGUGAGCCAGACCAACUCUACAUCUCCUGCCUAACCUACUGCCUAAGUCAUUAGGGCUGAGGGCUCGGCUGUAGGGGCUUCCUUAGGCUGAGAGUGCCCCCAGGCUGACAUCUGUGUUGGCUUUUGUUCAGAACCAUUACUCUGGCACAUGCUCAAUGGUAUAUUGCAGGGAGGAGAGGAGUAGAUUUAGAUUUGAGUAAAUGCCAAUCACUUUACACAUGAAGGUGGGUGGGACUUUCCUUCCAUUCAUCCCUUGCUCUCUUGGAUCUGAACUCUUCUGGAGCCUCAGCUCAGGAUAGCUGCUGGCCACUCCUGUCCUGUGGAUUGUGCAGGUGGCCUUUCCUCCCAAAAGAAAAGGCAUCAGGCUCCCCAAGCCCCACAGCUCUCCUUUCCACCAAAGCCAGGUUUCCUGGUAAGGUCACUCGAAGAUAAGGGAUGGGGAUGGGGGCUGACUGACAAAAAAUUUUAGCCCCAGGUCUCAGUACCUGGCUGGGGAGGGGGAUAUUUUUCCUUCCUUAAGUAGUUUUACAUUGCCACAGUGUGUAUGUGUUCACUAUAUAAAAUGUUCCUCUGCUCUUUGAAAGUAAGAGUGUUGUGUCUGUACAAAUCCUUUUAACAUGCAUUCAUUGGAGUAAAUUCUGAGUAUCUACUGUGUAUUGGAUAAUACAAAAGAUGUAAUGUCAUUUACCUUUCUGGGUAGCUCUUGUUUGCUCUUAUUCAUUCCACCUUACAAAUGAGAAAGCCAGGCACCAAGGACAAUAAUUUACCUAAUUAUCACAAUAAUUUCCAUUUAUUUAGCACCUACUCUGUGCCAGGUACCUAUGCAAGUUGCUUAAUAUAAAUGAUUGUAUUUGACUUCCAAAAUACCUUACAAGCUAAGUAUUCUUAUCACCAUUUUAAAAAAAAAGGGAUACUGAACCUCCAAAAACUUAAAAGCUUUUUCAGAGUUAAACAGCUAGUAAGAGGAAAUUGCAGGAUUUGGAGCCAGCUUUGUCCAACUCCAGAGCUCAUUUUUUUCUACUUCUUCUCCAUGAUCAUUUUUAAGAAAACCUUUCUCCCUUUCAGAAUGGCUUGAUGAUGAGAGUGGUUGAAAUAACUUUGGAACUGAAAUCAAGAACUGGGUGUCAAAUGACUGAUUCAGGGAUAUAAAGGCCAAGGGCUCUCUAAAUAAUAUCCUGUACACUAAUCUGUCUCUGUGCUUGUCAGGGAAUUCAACAGCUAAAUAAAACCUCUCUGUGCCUCAGUGUCCUCAUCUGGAAAA